rnacentral:rRNA from 1 species
GACGGAGGAUGCAAGCGUUAUCCGGAAUGAUUGGGCGUAAAGCGUCCGCAGGUGGCAGUUCAAGUCUGCUGUCAAAGACCGGGGCUUAACUUCGGAAAGGCAGUGGAAACUGAACAGCUAGAGUAUGGUAGGGGCAGAGGGAAUUCCUGGUGUAGCGGUGAAAUGCGCAGAUAUCAGGAAGAACACCUAUGGCGAAGGCAGCUCUCUGGGACGGUACUGACGCUGAGACGCGAAAGCGUGGGGAGCGAACAGGG